CGUAGGUGGCGAGCGUUGUCCGGAUUUACUGGGCGUAAAGAGCGCGCAGGCGGCUGGUCAAGUCCGAUGUGAAAGCUCCCGGCUUAACUGGGAAAUUGCAUCGGAAACUGAUCGGCUGGAAGGUGGGAGAGGGUAGCGGAAUUCCCGGUGUAGUGGUGAAAUGCGUAGAUAUCGGGAGGAACACCGGUGGCGAAGGCGGCCUUCUGGACAGUGACUGACGCUGAGACGCGAAAGCGUGGGGAGCAAACAGG
rnacentral:rRNA from 1 species